rnacentral:rRNA from 1 species
UUUAAAUGUAUUGGAUAAGCURAAAUUAUUAUGAGUUAUGAUCUUUAAAAUUAAAAAAUUUGGCGGUAUUUUAGUCUAUUCAGAGGAACCUGUUUUUUAAUCGAUAGUCCACGAUAAUUGUUACUUUAAUUUUAAAUUUAUAUAUCGUCGUUAAUAAAAAUUUUUAGAAAAUUUUAAUUUUUGGGAUUUUUAAUUAAAAUUGAAUUCAGAUCAAGGUGUAGUUUAUAUUAAAGUUAAAAUGGGUUACAUUAUAUUUAUAUGUGGUUUUUUAUUUUAAAAUUAAAUUUAAAAUGGAUUUGAUAGUAAAUUCUUUAUUUUUAAGGAUUGAUUUAGCUCUAAAAUAUGU